UUUCCGUAGGUGAACCUGCGGAAGGAUCAUUAUCGUAUAAUCGAGGUCAGGGGGCUGUCUCUGACUUGAUAGGUCGUGCACGCCCGAGUGCCCUCACACACCUCCAUCUCACCCCUAUGUGCAAUCCCGCGUGGGACCCCCCUAGGCAUGUGCGGAGGGUGGCUUAAGUUUUCACACAAUCAUUGUAUGCUGUGUAGACUGUAUCUUUUGUUAUUGAGACCACGCAUCCAAAAAACCUUUCAACAAAGGACCUCUUGGCUCUCGUAUCGCUGAUGACCG
rnacentral:misc_RNA from 1 species